rnacentral:misc_RNA from 1 species
UGAUGGAUACUUGUGCAAUUGAGGGGAGUGGAGUUUGUGAAGCUGUUGAUUCAAAGGGGCCUAGGAAUUGGGAUCAGAUCAAAGUGCCUGGGUUGAAACCAUCUAUGUCAAUGAGCGAUCUCAUGAAUCACAUUGGGAACUGUAUUUCAGANNNUUCAGAACAAAUGAUUUCUGGAAAUCCACCGUUCCCUGCAGAGGGAUCAGAAUGCCAGGACAUAUUAGAGGACAUUGCAGAGUACCUUCUUAGCGACACCCAACUAACAACCUCCUCUGAUGAGAAAAGGCUCAUGGCUAGGGUCAAUUCUCUCUGUUGUCUCUUGCAGAAGGACCCUGCUCCAACCCAGAACUUGCAAGUUAAUGAGGAAAGUUGCAUUGGAGAAUCAUACAGUGGGAAAGGAGUUCAGCCGAACAAUACUAAUGAAUUGUUGCAUGAGAACAGGUGUAAAGAUGAUUCAAAGGAUCCUGAAGGGAAUGUGAAGGAUGUUUCUGGCAGCAAGCA